rnacentral:rRNA from 1 species
CCUACGGGAGGCAGCAGUAGGGAAUAUUGCUCAAUGGGGGAAACCCUGAAGCAGCAACGCCGCGUGGAGGAUGAAGGUUUUCGGAUUGUAAACUCCUUUUGUUAGAGAAGAUAAUGACGGUAUCUAACGAAUAAGCACCGGCUAACUCCGUGCCAGCAGCCGCGGUAAUACGGAGGGUGAAAGCGUUACUCGGAAUCACUGGGCGUAAAGAGCGCGUAGGCGGGAUCGCAAGUCAGAUGUGAAAUCCUCUGGCUUAACCAUAGAACUGCAUUUGAUACUGUCAGUCUAGAGUAUGGGAGAGGUAGGUGGAAUUCUAGGUGUAGGGGUGAAAUCCGUAGAGAUCUAGAGGAAUACUCAUUGCGAAGGCGACCUCCUAGAACAUAACUGACGCUGAUGCGCGAAAGCGUGGGGAGCAAACAGGAUUAGAUACCCCAGUAGUC